UACGGAGGGGGCUAGCGUUGUUCGGAAUUACUGGGCGUAAAGCGCACGUAGGCGGCUUUGUAAGUUAGAGGUGAAAGCCCGGGGCUCAACUCCGGAAUUGCCUUUAAGACUGCAUCGCUAGAACGUCGGAGAGGUAAGUGGAAUUCCGAGUGUAGAGGUGAAGUUCGUAGAUAUUCGGAAGAACACCAGUGGCGAAGGCGGCUCACUGGCCCGAUACUGACGCUGAGGCACGAAAGCGUGGGGAGCAAACAGG
rnacentral:rRNA from 1 species